AUUGAACGCUGGCGGCAUGCUUUACACAUGCAAGUCGAACGGUAACAGGCCUUCGGGUGCUGACGAGUGGCGAACGGGUGAGUAAUGCAUCGGAACGUACCCAGAGGUGGGGGAUAACGCAGCGAAAGCUGUGCUAAUACCGCAUGUGAUCUGAGGAUGAAAGCGGGGGACCGAGCAGCAAUGUUUGGCCUCGCGCCUUUGGAGCGGCCGAUGUCGGAUUAGCUAGUUGGUGGGGUAAAGGCCUACCAAGGCGACGAUCCGUAGCUGGUCUGAGAGGACGACCAGCCACACUGGGACUGAGACACGGCCCAGACUCCUACGGGAGGCGGCAGUGGGGAAUUUUGGACAAUGGGCGUAAGCCUGAUCCAGCAAUGCCGCGUGCGGGAAGAAGGCCUUCGGGUUGUAAACCGCUUUUGGCAGGAACGAAACGGUGUCCGCUAAUACCGGGCGCUAAUGACGGUACCUGCAGAAUAAGCACCGGCUAACUACGUG
rnacentral:rRNA from 1 species